UCAGAAUUUACAAAUGCUAUAUUAUAAAUAUACAUAGAAAACAUUAUUUGCAUCGUACUAGCAUGUGAACGUGAUAGGACAUAAACUUUUGCAUGCAUGGAAAUGGGAACACCUGAUCCCACAUAAGAACGUCACGGACGUGACUAGGGAUGGGUGUCGAUAGAUUAUUAGAUCAUGGAACAUAAUAUCAUAGGAACAUAAUAUCAGUAAACGUGUUUCACUUACGCAAGGGAAAUUUGUGGUACAGAAAAUACAAAAUAUGUAUUCCUGUUCUGUUAGGGGAGGACCAUUACAAAAGUGAUGGUGGGGAAAAAGCAAACAAAAAUCGCGCAGGGGAAACAGAAAGAAAAAAAAUUCGAGCAAGAAAAUUCGUGCAGAGACUUUUCAAUAGGGAAAAUUAUAAGUUGAAAUAAAAAAAAUCCGUGCAAGGGAUUAUAUUUAAAAAA